rnacentral:tRNA from 1 species
GCCUUCGUAGCUCAGUGAUAGAGCACGUCAUUGGUAAUGACGGGGUCGGAAGUUUGAUUCUUCUCGGAGGCACCA